UACAUGGGGUGCAAACGUUGCUCGGAAUUAUUGGGCGUAAAGCGCACGUAGGCGGUUUGUUAAGUCGGAUGUGAAAUCCCUCGGCUCAACUGAGGAAGUGCAUCCGAAACUGGCAAGCUUGAGUACGAAAGAGGGUCGCGGAAUUCCCGGUGUAGAGGUGAAAUUCGUAGAUAUCGGGAGGAACACCGGUGGCGAAGGCGGCGACCUGGGUCGAUACUGACGCUGAUGCACGAAAGCGUGGGGAGCAAACAGG
rnacentral:rRNA from 1 species